rnacentral:misc_RNA from 1 species
ACUUCUCAACUCCUCACGGUUCGCCCGUGAUGAGCUUGGACUUUGGGGGUCUUGCCGGCCUGCAGGUUGGCUCCUCUCAAAUGAAUUAGCUUGCCGGUGUUUGGCGGCGUCACAGGUGUGAUAACUAUCUACGCUUGUGGUUGUCCGCCAGGUAACCUCUGGCAAUGGAGGUUCACUGGAGCUCACAAAUGUCUCUCCUCGGUGAGGACAGCUCUUUGAAU